rnacentral:rRNA from 1 species
GACGAACGCUGGCGGCAUGCCUAACACAUGCAAGUCGAGCGAGCAGAUCCCUUCGGGGUGAAGCUAGCGGCGGACGGGUGAGUAACACGUGGGCAACCUGCCUCAUAGAGGGGAAUAGCCUUCCGAAAGGAAGAUUAAUACCGCAUAAGAUUGUGGCUUCGCAUGAAGCAGCAAUUAAAGGAGCAAUCCGCUAUGAGAUGGGCCCGCGGCGCAUUAGCUAGUUGGUGAGGUAACGGCUCACCAAGGCGACGAUGCGUAGCCGACCUGAGAGGGUGAUCGGCCACAUUGGGACUGUGACACGGCCCAGACUCCUACGGGAGGCAGCAGUGGGGAAUAUUGCACAAUGGGGGGAACCCUGAUGCAGCAAUGCCGCGUGAGUGAUGACGGCCUUCGGGUUGUAAAGCUCUGUCUUCGGGGACGAUAAUGACGGUACCCGAGGAGGAAGCCACGGCUAACUACGUGCCAGCCGCCGCAGUAA